GUCGCUUUGGAUAAAAGCGUCUGCUAAAUGCAUAUAUUUAUUUUAAAUUUAAUUUAUUUAUUCGCAACAGCCGUAAAUACCUUCAGUUCAAUUGUGGAGUUAAAUUUUUUUCCAAUUUGGUGAAAUGUUAGCCUCAAGUCGUUGUUAAUUUCAGCCUGUGGCCAGGGAAAGGUUAUAAGCCUUGCCCAGUCUUACACAAGCUCCGCCUAUGCUGAUGUACAUGAUUAAAAACAACCACCUUAGAGAGCAAUGUUCUUUUCUCGAAAAACUAAAUCAAUGAAUGUGCAUUUGAGAGAAGGAACAGGAACAUAAGAUUGCAGAUCACAGGUGAAGGAGUGUAUACGCACAGCACCUCAAACAUGACUAGAUUAUUAUACUUCAUAUGUCUUGUCCUUAAACAGUGUGUGUAUGCUGUGUUUGUACUGCGCGUGUCUCAACCAGAGUCAGCAGUGAGAGUUCAGCCUGGACACUCUACAACUCUUCCGUGCUUCACACCAGAUGAUGGACACUUUAAAGUGUUCUGGUUCAAAAUACAAAACAGUUCUGCUCCAGUUUUUGUGGCUUUGGCUGAAUCAGACAAAACUGCCAUAAUAAUUGGAGACAAAUUUCAGGAUCCCACAAAGUAUACAUUAGGAUGGAACAAGCUCAGCUUCAGUCUCUCAGUACUGAACAUGGAGCAAACAGACAUCGCCGUGUACUACUGUGGGAUUAUUAUUUAUCGAGAGAUGUAUUUUGGAAAUGGAACAAGACUGAUGUUUGAAGAGCAUUUUAACGGGACAGAAAAAAAUGAGGAAAAGGAAGAUGACUGUAGGAAUCAGUUUGUCUUUGUUUGGCCAACACUGAUAACAAUCAUUGUGAUGUCCAUACUUCUCAACAUCAUUCUGUUCUACAUCUUAAAGAAACAUAGAGCAGGUAAUAUUUAUUUGCCGCCUAUACUGGUAUUUUCAAACUAUGCCCAUGCAGUUUUUGUUUUUCUAGUCUCACUUUGGUCAAUGUUUUCAGGCAUUUCACAAACUAACGGCAGUCAAAAUGUAAGACAUUUUCUACAUAUUAUUCAUAAUUUGGCGCUUCAAAUAUUUAAUAGCUGUCAAAUGCUGUAA
rnacentral:lncRNA from 1 species